rnacentral:rRNA from 1 species
GACAGAGGCCCCGAGCGUUAAUCGGAAUCACUGGGCUUAAAGGGUGCGUAGGCCCGGCCCGCAAGUGCUUUGUGAAAUCCCCCGGCUCAACCCGGGGAACAGCGGGGCAUACUGCGGGUCUUGAGGAAGGUAGGGGUUGCCGGAACUGUAGGUGGAGCGGUGAAAUGCGUAGAUAUCUACAGGAACGCCGAUGGUGAAGACGGGCAACUGGGCCUUUCCUGACGCUGAGGCACGAAAGCG